rnacentral:rRNA from 1 species
GCCGAAGCCGCGGACCCCCAACAUCGAUCCUCCCCAAUCCGCCUUUGUGGUGGUUGGGCAGGGGUUGGGGGUGGUAGGGGAGCGUCCUGCACUGGGUGAAGCCUGGGGGUGACCCACGGGUGGACGGUGCGGGAGUGAGAAUGCAGGCAUGAGUAGCGAUGACUAGGGUGAGAAGCCCUAGCGCCGAGAGACCAAGGGUUCCAGGGCCAGGCUAGUCCGCCCUGGGUGAGUCGGGACCUAAGGCGAGGCCGACAGGCGUAGUCGAUGGAUGACGGGUUGAUAUUCCCGUACCGGCGAAGGACCGACCAUGCUGACGCGUGGGUGCUAACCCACGCUGCUGGCCCAUAUUGUGGCCGCACCUGACCAUGUGUGGUGGGUGUGGCUGGUGUGGCUGGUGGUCUGGGGAUCCUCCGUGCUGGUAGGCAAGCGUGUUAACAGGGGUGACGCACAGUGGUAGCCCGGCGGGCCUAAUGGCUUGGCCUGUUCAAGCGCGCAGCCCGGUUCCUAGGGUAAAUCCGGGGGCCAGCCUCAGUGCGUGGGGCGGGGGAUAACCGG